rnacentral:rRNA from 1 species
AGUGAACGCUGGCGGUAGGCCUAACACAUGCCAGUCGAACGGCAGCACAGUAAGAGCUUGCUCUUACGGGUGGCGAGUGGCGGACGGGUGAGGAAUACAUCGGAAUCUACUUUUUCGUGGGGGAUAACGUAGGGAAACUUACGCUAAUACCGCAUACGACCUACGGGUGAAAGCAGGGGAUCUUCGGACCUUGCGCGAUUGAAUGAGCCGAUGUCGGAUUAGCUAGUUGGCGGGGUAAAGGCCCACCAAGGCGACGAUCCUUAGCUGGUCUGAGAGGAUGAUCAGCCACACUGGAACUGAGACACGGUCCAGACUCCUACGGGAGGCAGCAGUUGGGAAUAUUGGACAAUGGGCGCAAGCCUGAUCCAGCCAUACCGCGUGGGUGAGGAAGGCCUUCGGUUUGUAAAGCCCUUUUUUGGGGAAAGAAAAGCAGCAGGUUAAUACCCCGCUGUUCUGACGGUACCCAAAGAAUAAGCACCGGCUAACCUCGUG